rnacentral:lncRNA from 12 species
UCCUGGGAAAUCAUCCUUGUCAGAGGCGAGGGUUGUCCAAAGCACUGACAGUGACAGUAGAUAUGAGUAGGAGGAGGGAGAGGUUCCCAGGCAGAGGCUGGAAUGAGAAUAGCACGCUGUGUAAACCAAAAAAGGACCUGCCUUGAAGGAAUUAUUGAAACUCAAAUGAUUGGAAACAUCACAAGAGGCUCAUUAGACGUCGAGGAAGUAAACUUUCAAACUCAAACCACAUGCCACCCUCAAAGCACAGACCUUGUCCCCCCCACCCUCCAGCCCCCAGCCACUACCACCGUCGUGAAAGUCCCCAGGCACAGAACCGUUUCCUCGGAGGGGACACUGCAGGAGACCACAGUGCUCUGAGGCCACCGAGCAGCAUGGACAGAGCAGGGCUUAGAAUCUGAGCCAAGACCGACGGCUGACUCUCGCAGACCUUACGAUGGGCCUUCGCAUGCCCUGACUCAGGACAUCUCACCCAGAGGCACGGACCAUCAUGACCCUUACGGAGAGGACCUGAGCACAGAAAUGUUAAGGAACCUAUUUCAGAUGACCUGCAGCGAAGUGGCAAAGCCAAAACCCAGCCUGCCUGGGUUUGCAGCCGCAUUCUGCCGAUGCCCUGCUGUGUGACUUGGGGCAACUUACUCAGCCUUGCUGAAUCUGUUUUGUCAUGUGUGACACGAGCAUAGCACCACACCUGUCUCCUAGGGGAUGGCUGAAGGUCAGGUACACCGGGGACCUAACACAGUGCCUCGCGCACAGCAGGUGCCCAUAAAUGUAAGGAACGGCUAAGUAAAUGAGGUCCAGCUAAGAUGCCACCACCUUCCUGAGGUCUUUGUCCUUGAGUCUGCCCCGCAUUAGGCUGUUCAAGAAUGGGCAGCACCAGGAGAUCUCUGCAUUUCUGCUGUACUGUUGUGCAAGAUCACACAGCCAGGCAGUGGUAGAGGCAGGAGCUGCCUUCAGAUCAUCUGGCUUCAGGGCAGCGCACACUGUUGCUGCCAUCACACUGCCUGCCUCCGCCAGUGGAUUGUGGGUCCUUGAAGGCAG